AGCGGUCAACACGAGCAAGCAUCCUUGUGUGCCCAAUGUACUCUGCUGUUGACCUCAUGCAAACUCAACAUCAAUGAUGGAAACCUUGUCUGAAUACUUCAUAGACUCAGGGAGCCUACUCCAUCUUUCUCCAGUGUUCUAGUCAUCUGGCCUUGAAAAGCGAAAUAACUGGCUUUUCUAUGAUAUUCUACCUCCAAGAAUACAGGAUGCUGAGCCAGCAGUAGCCAAUACUGGAAUAAAGGAAAUGAGCCAGUACAUCUAAGAAGCCAGUAUGUCCACUCAUGAAUGUCACUUAAGGUGGGCCUCAUACAAUAUUCUCAACUAUCAGGCAUUGACACGGAGCAGACUGUUGCAGUCAGGAUGGAGGUCUGCUAGGAUGCUUGGUACACAAUGGCUGGCAAUGCUCCGCAAUCCAUGGGACAUAGACAUAGUGAACAGUCUAACUCCUGAGAAGGUGAAUUAAAAGUUUCCACGGGUAUCAGCAGUGAUACAGACUAAACACACCACACCACAGAAGCCUUGAGAUCUGAAGAUCACAGCAUUAAGGAAAGGCAGCACUG
rnacentral:lncRNA from 1 species